UAUUAUCAUUUCCAGUUUUUCCAAUUAAACUAAUCCGUCACCAUCGUCUUCCAAUAAUGUAAUAGGAUGCUUCAAAGAAACUCCCAUUGCCAGCCUUUAUGAUCCUGGUGGCCUUAUUUAUCACAAAAUUGCCUAGUCUUUUGUGAGCCUCUAUAAUUGGUUUAGCUCCUCUCUUCAAAACGAUAUAUGGGAACGCCACCUAAGCAGCUGCUGCUUCUGCUGCUGCUUAUACUGAUUGUUUCAACGUCCCAGCUGCAACCAGGAGGAGUUGCAGAAGCAAGGCCUAUUUCCUCAAUACCUCAACAAAGCCGAUACUCAAAGAUUUUCUCGACGCUAGGAAUUGUUUGCAAGUGUUGUGAUGGAGACAAAGGUGAAUGCACAAGUACACGGACGGAGUCCUGCUCUAAGCUCCAAUGCUUUCCCUGGAAACAAAACUAGCUAGUCACUGCAUCAUGUGGUUUUUGUUUUUUCUGGGUUUCUGUACAUAUUUUUACUAUUAAUUGAUAUAUAUAAACUGGGUUGAUCCCAUUAUGCCAUUUCAGUUCUGACCUUAUUAAUAGUUCAGUCACAGUUCCAACGCA